GCAGAUUCACUCUGCACCUGGCUGCAGCUCCAGUCUGGUGCUUUUUCCAUCUGCCAAAGAAACAGUCCAGAGUGCUGUGGCUGCCUCUGCCUAUCAGAGGCAGUGCAGCUGCCUGGGGACACAGCC
ensembl:snoRNA Gm25777 small nucleolar RNA SNORA77